CCUACGGGAGGCAGCAGUAGGGAAUAUUGGACAAUGGGCGCAAGCCUGAUCCAGCCAUCCCGCGUGCAGGAUUAAGGCCCUAUGGGUCGUAAACUGCUUUUAUCAGGGAAGAAACCGGGGGAUUCAUCCCCCGUUGACGGUACCUGAGGAAUAAGCACCGGCUAACUCCGUGCCAGCAGCCGCGGUAAUACGGAGGGUGCAAGCGUUAUCCGGAUUUACUGGGUUUAAAGGGUGCGUAGGUGGUCUUGUAAGUCAGCGGUGAAAGCUCGGAGCUUAACUCCGAAAUUGCCAUUGAUACUGCAAGGCUUGAGUACAGUUGAGGUAGGCGGAAUAUGUCAUGUAGCGGUGAAAUGCUUAGAUAUGACAUAGAACACCAAUUGCGAAGGCAGCUUGCUAAACUGUAACUGACACUGAGGCACGAAAGCGUGGGGAUCAAACAGGAUUAGAUACCCUGGUAGUCCACGCCCUAAACGAUGCUAACUCGAUUUUGGCGAUAUACAGUCAGAGUACCGAACGGGAAACCGGAACGUAAGUUAGUACCGACCGUACGGGUAGGUACGGUCCGCGAAGGAGUAGUUAACGUUACGUAAGUUAGUUAAGUUAGUUACGGCGUUGAGACGNGCGACGGACGACGACGAGGGAGGAGG
rnacentral:rRNA from 1 species